CAGCUUCGAACGCGAGGCAACAGAUGGCGCUGGCGGCUCUCUGACACCACGGCAGCAGACGAAUUUUUAUGGCGCCCCUGCCUGCUCUUUGCAACUCUAUGCCACUAUGAGUUCUGAGCAUGAGGGAGCGUCCGUGACUGACCUAAGCUGACCCAACUCCGAAACAAAUUUGCAAG